rnacentral:rRNA from 1 species
UACCAGCACCCCGAGUGGUUGGGACGUUUAUUGGGCCCAAAGCCUCCGUAGCCGGUUCUACAAGUCUUCCGUUAAAUCCACCUGCUCAACAGAUGGGCUGCGGAAGAUACUAUGGAGCUAGGAGGCGGGAGAGGCAAGCGGUACUCGAUGGGUAGGGGUAAAAUCCGUUGAUCCAUUGAAGACCACCAGUGGCGAAGGCGGCUUGCCAGAACGCGCUCGACGGUGAGGGAUGAAAGCUGGGGGAGCAAACCGG